UGGGGAAUAUUGCACAAUGGGCGCAAGCCUGAUGCAGCCAUGCCGCGUGUGUGAAGAAGGCCUUCGGGUUGUAAAGCACUUUCAGCGAGGAGGAAGGUGGUGGACUUAAUACGUUCAUCAAUUGACGUUACUCGCAGAAGAAGCACCGGCUAACUCCGUGCCAGCAGCCGCGGUAAUACGGAGGGUGCAAGCGUUAAUCGGAAUUACUGGGCGUAAAGCGCACGCAGGCGGUUUGUUAAGUCAGAUGUGAAAUCCCCGGGCUCAACCUGGGAACUGCAUUUGAAACUGGCAAGCUAGAGUCUCGUAGAGGGGGGUAGAACUCCAGGUGUAGCGGUGAAAUGCGUAGAGAUCUGGAGGAAUACCGGUGGCGAAGGCGGCCCCCUGGACGAAGACUGACGCUCAGGUGCGAAAGCGUGGGGCAGCAAACAGGAUUAGAUACCCUGGUAGUCCACGCUGUAAACGAUGUCGAUUUGGAGGUUGUGCCCUUGAGGCGUGGCUUCCGGAGCUAACGCGUUAAA
rnacentral:rRNA from 1 species